rnacentral:lncRNA from 1 species
CCCUACCACCGUAGUAGGGCAUCCAGGUAAAUCUCAUCUUGGGGGUUUUAAAAUAUCGAACAGCAUUAUAAAUAGGGAGGGCCAGGAUGCACAUCCCAUACAUAAAUUAAAUUCACAUAUCAUUAAUUUAAAUAAAUAACAUAAAGUUUAAUUCAAAUAUAAAAAAAAUUUGAAGAGAAGAGAAUGGCAUGUGGCGAUGGCUUCGUCGUCAUCACCAUCACCGCUGCCGUCGCUAAUACUUACGAACGAAAAGAAAAAGAGGGAGCAGAGAUGAUGGAUCAGGCUUGGGGACA